ACACUCCUCUGGUUCCCGUAACUUCUUCAGUAACUUCCUGCCUCCAGGAUAUUUCUCAGUUGGCAAAUAAGCCAUGACUAGCAGUUAGGCAAUGUGCUGAAAUGCAUAGGAUAACAUCUUAUCAGUUGGAUUAAGACAGUAUGUUAGAACAGGUGGAAUGAACCUCUUGAAAAGGCAGAAGAAGCAAACGCCGAACUAAAAUGCCUAUAGCAUAAGUUGAGGGAUCUUUCUGAGCAGAGGAAGGGUGAGAUGACCUUUCUAUCCACUUAAGGAGUUCUUUGCCAUUUGAAGAGAAAGUAAAGUCUCUCAUCUUACAAGUUCAGUGAUGCUACCUACCGUCUGAGCCACUGGAGCAAAAGUAUGCAGCAAGUGAAAACAUUUCUUCAGAUCACGGCCGCCAAGUCAAGAGCAUUCCAGGGUAAUUAACUGAGAUCUGUUACUGUAUUUAAUAUGUGGAUUCUUUCAGCUUAUUCCUAAGUGUGACAUUGUGCAAAAAUGGGGAGGGGAAAGUCCAAAAUUCAAUGUGGAGAAAAAUAUUAAAAAUAAAACAGAAACAUAUGCAGGCAAAUGAGAAGGGAUUUUAUAGUUGAUAAAAAUCUGGACUAACUUUCAGAGACACAUUGUACUAUUUCUAGUUCUAGAUAUUUGUUAAGUUGGAGGCUGUGACUGAUCACUCAAGAACCUGAAAAUAAGAAAAACAGGAGAAUUAUGAAGCAUAUUUUCAUUGGCAUUUUAGAUUAACCUUUCAUGCUUUGUUUAUAUUAUAAAUAAUACUCCUAUUCACUGUAAUUCAUUUUCUACAUGAAGUGCCGAACAAACAGCUUCAUUUUCAAAGUAUUUAUAAAUACAUGAUUAUAUUCCAUAAAGUUAGAUCAUUUUUAAAAAUAAAUGACACAUUUUCUUACAGGAUAUUUUAUUAACUGAGCUUCCUUUAUGUUUUCCUUGGUCAGGCAAGAUGAAAUUGAAUUGCUAUAAUACAAAUUUUAUAUCAGAAACUUACUUAUUAACUUACAUGGUUCAUGGGGUCUGCAUUUUGUUUACUUUGAUCACAAAAAGGCAUUAUCUUUAAAAAGAAAACUUACAAAUUCAGAUGCAUAAUAAUGAAAUGUAGUGGUUGAGAAGUUGGAAACCAUCCGUGAAUCAAAUAUGCAAUUUCCAUUUGUUGGAAAGAAAAGAUUUAUACUGGUGACAAGUUUAGACAAAAAUACAUAUUUUAAAUUACUAAUGGAUGCAUUACAGUAAAUGUUGUAGAAAUAGAUGGAUUUCACUUUUUUAAAAUUUUUUAAAAAUUUUAUUUAUUUUAUUUUUGGCUGCGUUGGGUCUUCAU